rnacentral:tRNA from 1 species
UAGGAGGAAGCCAAUAUUUCAGGCACCUGUCUGUUAAACAGGCCUUAGCUCCUUUUAGAGCCCUUCUAG